rnacentral:rRNA from 1 species
AUUGAACGCUGGCGGCAGGCCUAACACAUGCAAGUCGAACGGAGUGGCGGACGGGUGAGUAAUGCCUAGGAAUCUGACUGGUAGUUGGGGAUAACGUCCGGAAACGGGCGCUAAUACCGCAUACUAUCAGAUGAGCCUAGGUAGGAUUAGCUAGUUGGUGGGGUAAAGGCCUACCAAGGCGACGAUCCGUAACUGGUCUGAGAGGAUGAUCAGUCACACUGGAACUGAGACACGGUCCAGACUCCUACGGGAGGCAGCAGUGGGGAAUAUUGGACAAUGGGCGAAAGCAUGAUCCAGCCAUGCCGCGUGUGUGAAGAAGGUCUUCGGAUUGUAAAGCACUUUAAGUUGGGAGGCGUUACCCGCAGAAGAAGCACCGGCUAACUCCGUGCCAGCCGCCGCGGUAAUUC